rnacentral:rRNA from 1 species
UACGUAGGGUGCAAGCGUUAAUCGGAAUUACUGGGCGUAAAGCGUGCGCAGGCGGUUUUGUAAGUCUGUCGUGAAAUCCCCGGGCUCAACCUGGGAAUGGCGAUGGAGACUGCAAGGCUAGAGUUUGGCAGAGGGGGGUAGAAUUCCACGUGUAGCAGUGGAAUGCGUAGAUAUGUGGAGGAACACCGAUGGCGAAGGCAGCCCCCUGGGUCAAAACUGACGCUCAUGCACGAAAGCCGUGGGGAGCAAAAGGG